GACGAACGCUGGCGGCGUGCUUAACACAUGCGAGUCGAACGGAAAGGCCCUGCUUUUGUGGGGUGCUCGAGUGGCGAACGGGUGAGUAACACGUGAGUAACCUGCCCUUGACUUUGGGAUAACUUCAGGAAACUGGGGCUAAUACCGGAUAGGAGCUCCUGCUGCAUGGUGGGGGUUGGAAAGUUUCGGCGGUUGGGGAUGGACUCGCGGCUUAUCAGCUUGUUGGUGGGGUAGUGGCUUACCAAGGCUUUGACGGGUAGCCGGCCUGAGAGGCUGACCGGCCACAUUGGGACUGAGAUACGGCCCAGACUCCUACGGGAGGCAGCAGUGGGGAAUAUUGCACAAUGGGCGGAAGCCUGAUGCAGCAACGCCGCGUGCGGGAUGACGGCCUUCGGGUUGUAAACCGCUUUCGCCUGUGACGAAGCGUGAGUGACGGUAAUGGGUAAAGAAGCACCGGCUAACUACGUG
rnacentral:rRNA from 1 species